AGUGAACGCUGGCGGUAGGCCUAACACAUGCAAGUCGAACGGCAGCACAGUAAGAGCUUGCUCUUACGGGUGGCGAGUGGCGGACGGGUGAGGAAUACAUCGGAAUCUACUUUUUCGUGGGGGAUAACGUAGGGAAACUUACGCUAAUACCGCAUACGACCUACGGGUGAAAGCAGGGGAUCUUCGGACCUUGCGCGAUUGAAUGAGCCGAUGUCGGAUUAGCUAGUUGGCGGGGUAAAGGCCCACCAAGGCGACGAUCCGUAGCUGGUCUGAGAGGAUGAUCAGCCACACUGGAACUGAGACACGGUCCAGACCCCUACGGGAGGCAGCAGUGGGGAAUAUUGGACAAUGGGCGCAAGCCUGAUCCAGCCAUACCGCGUGGGUGAAGAAGGCCUUCGGGUUGUAAAGCCCUUUUGUUGGGAAAGAAAAGCAGCAGGUUAAUACCCCGCUGUUCUGACGGUACCCAAAGAAUAAGCACCAGCUAACUUCGUG
rnacentral:rRNA from 1 species